GUCAGGCGGGGCCACCCGCCGAGUUUAAGCAUAUAAAUAAGCGGAGGAGAAGAAACUUACGAGGAUUCCCCUAGUAACGGCGAGCGAACCGGGAUCAGCCCAGCUUGAGAAUCGGGCGGCCGCGCCGUCCGAAUUGUAGUCUGGAGAAGCGUCCUCAGCGACGGACCGGGCCCAAGUCCCCUGGAAAGGGGCGCCGGGGAGGGUGAG
rnacentral:rRNA from 1 species